rnacentral:rRNA from 1 species
UACGUAGGGGGCAAGCGUUGUCCGGAAUCAUUGGGCGUAAAGCGCGCGUAGGCGGCCCGGUAAGUCCGUUGUGAAAGUCAAAGGCUCAACCUUUGAACGCCGAUGGAUACUGCCGGGCUAGAGUCCGGAAGAGGCGAGUGGAAUUCCUGGUGUAGCGGUGGAAUGCGCAGAUAUCAGGAGGAACACCAAUAGCGAAGGCAGCCCCCUGGGUCAAGAUUGACGCUCAUGCACGAAAGCGUGGGGAGCAAACAGG